rnacentral:rRNA from 1 species
AUUGAACGCUGGCGGCAGGCCUAACACAUGCAAGUCGAACGGUAACAGGAAGCAGCUUGCUGCUUCGCUGACGAGUGGCGGACGGGUGAGUAAUGUCUGGGAAGCUGCCUGAUGGAGGGGGAUAACUACUGGAAACGGUAGCUAAUACCGCAUAAUGUCGCAAGACCAAAGAGGGGGACCUUCGGGCCUCUUGCCAUCGGAUGUGCCCAGAUGGGAUUAGCUUGUUGGUGGGGUAACGGCUCACCAAGGCGACGAUCCCUAGCUGGUCUGAGAGGAUGACCAGCCACACUGGGACUGAGACACGGUCCAGACUCCUACGGGAGGCAGCAGUGGGGAAUAUUGCACAAUGGGCGCAAGCCUGAUGCAGCCAUGCCGCGUGUAUGAAGAAGGCCUUCGGGUUGUAAAGUACUUUCAGAGGGGAGGAGGGGAGUAAAGUUAAUACCUUUGCUCAUUGACGUUACCCGCAGAAGAAGCACCGGCUAACUCCGUG